UCCCAUAGCGCCAUUUAUGGCCAUUAAGGCCAUGCCAAUUGUGGUGAUGUAGCAUUGCUAGAUUGAUCUGAAUGUUUGCUCUAGAAUAAAAUCAUCUUAAAAUUUGGAAACUUGAUGGGGUUGCAUUUUGAGUGGAAACAAGGAUGAACAUGGUAGCAAUUAAACAGUGUUUCAUGAUUUCCAAUAAGCAGCUUGUCAAGGGGUUGAGGAUGUAAUGCAAAAAGUGCUUUUAAUUUGUU
rnacentral:lncRNA from 1 species